rnacentral:rRNA from 1 species
UGAGGAACAUGACUUUCGGCGGGGGAUAGCCGGCCCAACGGCCGGGUAAUACCGCGUACGACCUUUUGGGGACAUCCCCGAUUGGUGAAAGCAGCAAUGCGCCGAAAAGAGUGCCUCGCGGCCUAUCAGCUAGUUGGUGGGGUAAUGGCUCACCAAGGCGACGACGGGUAGCUGGUCUGAGAGGAUGGCCAGCCACAUUGGGACUGAGACACGGCCCAGACUCCGUACGGGGNGCAGCAGG